rnacentral:rRNA from 1 species
AGGGGAGCCGGAGGGAAACCGAGUCUUAAUUGGGCGUUAAGUUGCAGGGUAUAGACCCGAAACCCGGUGAUCUAGCCAUGGGCAGGUUGAAGGUUGGGUAACACUAACUGGAGGACCGAACCGACUAAUGUUGAAAAAUUAGCGGAUGACCUGUGGCUGGGGGUGAAAGGCCAAUCAAACCGGGAGAUAGCUGGUUCUCCCCGAAAGCUAUUUAGGUAGCGCCUCGUGAAUUCAUCUCCGGGGGUAGAGCACUGUUUCGGCUAGGGGGCCAUCCCGGCUUACCAACCCGAUGCAAACUGCGAAUACCGGAGAAUGUUAUCACGGGAGACACACGGCGGGUGCUAACGUCCGUCGUGAAGAGGGAAACAACCCAGACCGCCAGCUAAGGUCCCAAAGUCAUGGUUAAGUGGGAAACGAUGUGGGAAGGCCCAGACAGCCAGGAUGUUGGCUUAGAAGCAGCCAUCAUUUAAAGAAAGCGUAAUAGCUCACUGGUCGAGUCGGCCUGCGCGGAAGAUGUAACGGGGCUAAACCAUGCACCGAAGCUGCGGCAGCGACACUGUGUGUUGUUGGGUAGGGGAGCGUUCUGUAAGCCUGUGAAGGUGUGUCGUGAGGCAUGCUGGAGGUAUCAGAAGUGCGAAUGCUGACAUAAGUAACGAUAAAGCGGGUGAAAAGCCCGCUCGCCGGAAGACCAAGGGUUCCUGUCCAACGUUAAUCGGGGCAGGGUGAGUCGACCCCUAAGGCGAGGCCGAAAGGCGUAGUCGAUGGGAAACGGGUUAAUAUUCCCGUACUUGGUGUUACUGCGAAGGGGGGACGGAGAAGGCUAUGUUGGCCGGGCGACGGUUGUCCCGGUUUAAGCGUGUAGGUGUGUGUUCCAGGUAAAUCCGGUUCACUUUAACACUGAGGCGUGACGACGAGGCACUACGGUGCUGAAGCAACAAAUGCCCUGCUUCCAGGAAAAGCCUCUAAGCAUCAGGUAACAUCAAAUCGUACCCCAAACCGACACAGGUGGUCAGGUAGAGAAUACCAAGGCGCUUGAGAGAACUCGGGUGAAGGAACUAGGCAAAAUGGUGCCGUAACUUCGGGAGAAGGCACGCUGACACGUAGGUGAAGUGAUUUACUCAUGGAGCUGAAGUCAGUCGAAGAUACCAGCUGGCUGCAACUGUUUAUUAAAAACACAGCACUGUGCAAACACGAAAGUGGACGUAUACGGUGUGACGCCUGCCCGGUGCCGGAAGGUUAAUUGAUGGGGUCAGCGCAAGCGAAGCUCCUGAUCGAAGCCCCGGUAAACGGCGGCCGUAACUAUAACGGUCCUAAGGUAGCGAAAUUCCUUGUCGGGUAAGUUCCGACCUGCACGAAUGGCGUAAUGAUGGCCAGGCUGUCUCCACCCGAGACUCAGUGAAAUUGAACUCGCUGUGAAGAUGCAGUGUACCCGCGGCAAGACGGAAAGACCCCGUGAACCUUUACUAUAGCUUGACACUGAACAUUGAGCCUUGAUGUGUAGGAUAGGUGGGAGGCUUUGAAGUGUGGACGCCAGUCUGCAUGGAGCCGACCUUGAAAUACCACCCUUUAAUGUUUGAUGUUCUAACGUGGACCCGUUACCCGGGUUGCGGACAGUGUCUGGUGGGUAGUUUGACUGGGGCGGUCUCCUCCUAAAGAGUAACGGAGGAGCACGAAGGUUGGCUAAUCCUGGUCGGACAUCAGGAGGUUAGUGCAAUGGCAUAAGCCAGCUUGACUGCGAGCGUGACGGCGCGAGCAGGUGCGAAAGCAGGUCAUAGUGAUCCGGUGGUUCUGAAUGGAAGGGCCAUCGCUCAACGGAUAAAAGGUACUCCGGGGAUAACAGGCUGAUACCGCCCAAGAGUUCAUAUCGACGGCGGUGUUUGGCACCUCGAUGUCGGCUCAUCACAUCCUGGGGCUGAAGUAGGUCCCAAGGGUAUGGCUGUUCGCCAUUUAAAGUGGUACGCGAGCUGGGUUUAGAACGUCGUGAGACAGUUCGGUCCCUAUCUGCCGUGGGCGCUGGAGAACUGAGGGGGGCUGCUCCUAGUACGAGAGGACCGGAGUGGACGCAUCACUGGUGUUCGGGUUGUCAUGCCAAUGGCACUGCCCGGUAGCUAAAUGCGGAAGAGAUAAGUGCUGAAAGCAUCUAAGCACGAAACUUGCCCCGA